rnacentral:rRNA from 1 species
UGGGGAAUAUUGCACAAUGGGCGAAAGCCUGAUGCAGCAACGCCGCGUGAGUGAUGAAGGUCUUCGGAUUGUAAAGCUCUGUCUUUUGGGACGAUAAUGACGGUACCAAAGGAGGAAGCCACGGCUAACUACGUGCCAGCAGCCGCGGUAAUACGUAGGUGGCGAGCGUUGUCCGGAUUUACUGGGCGUAAAGGGUGCGUAGGCGGAUGUUUAAGUGAGAUGUGAAAUACCCGGGCUUAACUUGGGUGCUGCAUUUCAAACUGGAUAUCUAGAGUGCAGGAGAGGAGAAUGGAAUUCCUAGUGUAGCGGUGAAAUGCGUAGAGAUUAGGAAGAACACCAGUGGCGAAGGCGAUUCUCUGGACUGUAACUGACGCUGAGGCACGAAAGCGUGGGUAGCAAACAGGAUUAGAUACCCUGGUAGUCCACGCCGUAAAACGAUGAGUACUAGGUGUAGGAGGUAUCGACCCCUUCUGUGCCGCAGUAAAACACAUUAAGUACUCCGCCUGGGAAGUACGAUCGCAAGAUUAAAACUCUAAAGUGAAUU